AUGAACGCUGGCGGCGUGCUUAACACAUGCAAGUCGAACGGUGAAGGAGAGCUUGCUCUCCGGAUCAGUGGCGAACGGGUGAGUAACACGUGAGCAACCUGCCCCGGACUCUGGGAUAACAGCUGGAAACAGCUGCUAAUACUGGAUACGAGCUGCGAAGGCAUCUUCAGCAGCUGGAAAGAACUUCGGUCUGGGAUGGGCUCGCGGCCUAUCAGCUAGUUGGUGAGGUAAUGGCUCACCAAGGCGUCGACGGGUAGCCG
rnacentral:rRNA from 3 species